GCAGUAGCCACGGUAAUACGUAGGGUGCGAGCGUUAAUCGGAAUUACUGGGCGUAAAGCGUGCGCAGGCGGUUUGUUAAGACAGAUGUGAAAUCCCCGGGCUCAACCUGGGAACUGCAUUUGUGACUGGCAGGCUAGAGUAUGGCAGAGGGGGGUGGAAUUCCGCGUGUAGCAGUGAAAUGCGUAGAUAUGCGGAGGAACACCGAUGGCGAAGGCAGCCCCCUGGGCCAAUACUGACGCUCAUGCACGAAAGCGUGGGGAGCAAACAGGAUUAGAUACCCGGGUAGUCCCUGUCUCUUAUAC
rnacentral:rRNA from 1 species